UCAGCUCCCUGCUGUUAGUUCUGAGCCUCUGCACGUCCUUGCUUCUGUUUUUUGUGCAUGUGCUAACUCCUGUUUCUUUGUUCUGCAGUUACUGCUGGUUGCACUGAACGGUGCUGCUUAGCUUUGCCAUUCCUGCCUUGCCCCGGAUUCCCCAACCCUGUCCUCCUGUCCUGUCUCAGAUUCCCUGGACUGCCCCUGCUGCUCUCUGCCGCCCACCAGUACAAGCGGUGCCAUCUUCCUGGACGGCUGGUCUCCAGGAGCCUGUCCGUCCCCUUCCAGCCCCGUUAGUGUGUUCAUGGUGAAGCUGGCGGCAGGUGUGGUGCAUGAUAAUCCGCAGAUGAGCUGCAGUGAAGCUGACUCCUGCCUGCUGUGUUCUGAGAUCCUUAAGUCUGCUGGUCCUCCGCUCUGCCUAGGAUUCUGUUUCUGAUGGAGGAUUCCACCUCUUGCCAGCUUCAUUCUGGGAACCACAGGCUACAUCUUGGACAAAACAUCCUGGGAUAAAUAUCUACCUUCAUUGAACUCAUGGACGCCAACUUACCUUCCAUGUGUUGAGUUCCAAAGAGGGUGAGAGCCGGAUGAGGCCAGGCCAAGAACUGUUUCCCUAUUAGUCAGCUAAGUUUCCAAGCCCUGGUGUUACCAGACUAUUAGUGUAUUAGUUGUACAUUGAAUUAUUACAAUCUACGUUCCAUAGUUAAUACUAUGUGUUUUUAUGCUCUGCAUCAAAUAGUUUUAGUCUGGAGGUUUUCUGUUCAGGAUUAGAGUCUAGGCUGGGUUUAGUUUUUGUAUUUUCAGUUGUUCUCCUGCCUUGGUUUUACCAUAUGUGAGUUAACUGUAGUUUCAGUUAGUGAUUGGUUUAAAGAAAUACAGACAAGACGGAUCAUUUCCACCCUGCAGCAGAACGACAGUGUGGUGCAACCAGACCAUUACGUACUGGAUAAUGGGCAGACUGAGCGAGGCUAUGUUUUGUGUAGGAGGCUCCUUCUUCACUGAUGCUUGGUGCUUUAAGAAGUGGUGAGAGUUCAGACUGGUACACCAGUCUGUGAGUUUUCUGUUCAACACUGUAAAGCCCAAAUACAGAAUAAAAAUAGAUUUGACAAA